rnacentral:rRNA from 1 species
AGAGUUUGAUCCUGGCUCAGGACGAACGCUGGCGGCGUGCUUAACACAUGCAAGUCGCGCGAUUCUCGAAGUUCGGGGUUGGGAGUUCGAACCUCGAACUUCGAACCUCGAACUUCGAGAAUAGCGGCGGACGGGUGAGUAACACGUGGAUAACCUACCCAUUAGACCGGGAUAACACCGGGAAACUGGUGCUAAUACCGGAUAAGCUCUUUAGAGUAAAAGCCUUAAAGAGGAAAGGGGAAACUCACUAAUGGAUGGGUCCGCGUCCUAUUAGCUAGUUGGUAGGGUAACGGCCUACCAAGGCGACGAUGGGUAGCCGGCCUGAGAGGGUGACCGGCCACACUGGGACUGAGACACGGCCCAGACUCCUACGGGAGGCAGCAGUGGGGAAUAUUCCGCAAUGGGGGAAACCCUGACGGAGCAAUGCCGCGUGAGUGAAGAAGGCCUUUGGGUCGUAAAACUCUGUCUUGAGGGACGAAAAAAAUGACGGUACCUCAAAAGAAAGCCCCGGCUAACUACGUGCCAGCAGCCGCGGUAAAACGUAGGGGGCGAGCGUUGUCCGGAAUUACUGGGCGUAAAGGGCGUGUAGGCGGCCUGUGUAGUCAAGUGGUGAAAACCCGGGGCUUAACUUCGGGAUGGCCCUUGAAACCAACAGGCUUGAGGACAGGAGAGGGGAGUGGAAUUUCC